rnacentral:rRNA from 1 species
AGGCAGCAGUGGGGGAAUAUUGCACAAUGGGCGCAAGCCUGAUGCAGCCAUGCCGCGUGUGUGAAGAAGGCCUUCGGGUUGUAAAGCACUUUCAGUCGUGAGGAAGGUAGUGUAGUUAAUAGCUGCAUUAUUUGACGUUAGCGACAGAAGAAGCACCGGCUAACUCCGUGCCAGCAGCCGCGGUAAUACGGAGGGUGCGAGCGUUAAUCGGAAUUACUGGGCGUAAAGCGCAUGCAGGUGGUUUGUUAAGUCAGAUGUGAAAGCCCGGGGCUCAACCUCGGAAUUGCAUUUGUAAACUAGGCAGACUAGAGUACUGUAGAGGGGGGUAGGAAUUUCAGGUGUAGCGGUGAAAUGCGUAGAGAUCUGAAGGAAUACCGGUGGCGAAGGCGGCCCCCUGGACAGAUACUGACACUCAGAUGCGAAAGCGUGGGGAGCAAACAGGAUUAGAUACCCUGGUAG